GACGAACGCUGGCGGCGUGCCUAAUACAUGCAAGUCGAACGCAGUGGGGACGGGUGAGUAACACGUUGGUAACCUCCCCAUCAGAGGGGAUAACACUUGGAAUCAGGUGCUAAACCGAUACUUUAGGAUGGACCCGCGGUGGAUUAGCUAGUUGGUGGGGUAACGGCUCACCAAGGCCACGAUGCAUAGCCGACCUGAGAGGGUGAUCGGCCACACUGGGACUGAGACACGGCCCAGACUCCGACGGGAGGCAGCAGUAGGGAAUCUUCGGCAAUGGACGAAAGUCUGACCGAGCAACGCCGCGUGAGGGAAGAAGGUUUUCGGGUCGUAAAACUCUGUUGUUAGAGAAGCGGUAUCUAACAAGAAAGCCAAGGCUAACUACGUGCCAGCAGCCGCGGUAAUUA
rnacentral:rRNA from 1 species